rnacentral:rRNA from 1 species
AGCGAACGCUGGCGGCAGGCCUAACACAUGCAAGUCGAACGAAGUCUUCGGACUUAGUGGCGGACGGGUGAGUAACACGUGGGAACGUACCUUUUGGUUCGGAACAACUCAGGGAAACUUGAGCUAAUACCGGAUGAGCCCUUAGGGGGAAAGAUUUAUCGCCGAAAGAGCGGCCCGCGUUAGAUUAGCUAGUUGGUGAGGUAAAGGCUCACCAAGGCUACGAUCUAUAGCUGGUCUGAGAGGAUGAUCAGCCACACUGGGACUGAGACACGGCCCAGACUCCUACGGGAGGCAGCAGUGGGGAAUCUUGCGCAAUGGGCGAAAGCCUGACGCAGCCAUGCUGCGCGAAUGAUGAAGGUCUUAGGAUUGUAAAAUUCUUUUACCAGGGGCGAUAAUGACGGUACCUGGAGAAAAAGCCCCGGCUAACUUCGUGCCAGCCGCCGCAGUAAUAC